rnacentral:tRNA from 1 species
GGGAGGACAGCUCAGUGGUAGAGUGCAUGCUUAGCACGCACAAGGUCCUAGGUUCAAUUCCUAGUACUUCAU